UUUACCCAUCUACAGAAGGAACAAUAUUUAUGAUAUGAUAAAUUUCAUAUUUAGAACAUUAUGCAGAACAAUUUAAAAAGGAUGAGUCUGUGUCUGUGUGUUAGUUUGAGAGAGAAUAGACCAACUUAUUCCAAAAUUCGCAAAAGUGCUGAUUUUUAACCAAGAUGUCAAAAGAAUAUGUUUUUGGGGAAUUUGAUAUGCUUAGAAAGGAUGAAAUUAAAGAAAAUUAACCUGCUGAUGAAGUCCUUUCUGUAG
rnacentral:misc_RNA from 1 species